GACGAACGCUGGCGGCGUGCCUAAUACAUGCAAGUCGAGCGGACAGACGGGAGCUUGCUCCCUUAUGUUAGCGGCGGACGGGUGAGUAACACGUGGGUAACCUGCCUGUAAGACUGGGAUAACUCCGGGAAACCGGGGCUAAUACCGGAUGGUUGUCUGAACCGCAUGGUUCAGACAUAAAAGGUGGCUUCGGCUACCACUUACAGAUGGACCCGCGGCGCAUUAGCUAGUUGGUGAGGUAACGGCUCACCAAGGCAACGAUGCGUAGCCGACCUGAGAGGGUGGUCGGCCAAACUGGGACUGAGACACGGCCCAGAAUCCUACGGGAGGCAGCAGUAGGGAAUCUUCCGCCAUGGACGAAAGUCUGACGGAGCAACGCCGCGUGAGUGAUGAAGGUUUUCGGAUCGUAAAGCUCUGUUGUUAGGGAAGAACAAGUGCCGUUCAAAUAGGGCGGCACCUUGACGGUACCUAACCAGAAAGCCACGGCUAACUACGUG
rnacentral:rRNA from 1 species